rnacentral:rRNA from 1 species
GCAAGUCGAGCGGACUUAUUCGGAUAGCUUGCUAUUUGGAUAAGUUAGCGGCGGACGGGUGAGUAACACGUGGGUAAUCUGCCUCGUAGACUGGGAUAACAGGCCGAAAGGUUUGCUAAUACCGGAUGAGUUCAUGUUUAUGCAUAUUGACAUGAAGAAAGGGGAAACCCGCUAUGAGAUGAGCCCGCGCCCCAUUAGCUAGUUGGUAGGGUAAAAGCCUACCAAGGCGACGAUGGGUAGCCGGCCUGAGAGGGUGGACGGCCACACUGGGACUGAGACACGGCCCAGACUCCUACGGGGGGCAGCAGUAG